CUGAAACCGUGUACGUACAAGCAGUGGGAGCACAGGUUUACCUGUGUGACUGCGUACCUUUUGUAUAAUGGGUCAGCGACUUAUAUUCUGUAGCAAGGUUAACCGUAUAGGGGAGCCGGAGGGAAACCGAGUCUUAACCGGGCGUUAAGUUGCAGGGUAUAGACCCGAAACCCGGUGAUCUAGCCAUGGGCAGGUUGAAGGUUGGGUAACACUAACUGGAGGACCGAACCGACUAAUGUUGAAAAAUUAGCGGAUGACCUGUGGCUGGGGGUGAAAGGCCAAUCAAACCGGGAGAUAGCUGGUUCUCCCCGAAAGCUAUUUAGGUAGCGCCUCGUGAAUUCAUCUCCGGGGGUAGAGCACUGUUUCGGCUAGGGGGCCAUCCCGGCUUACCAACCCGAUGCAAACUGCGAAUACCGGAGAAUGUUAUCACGGGAGACACACGGCGGGUGCUAACGUCCGUCGUGAAGAGGGAAACAACCCAGACCGCCAGCUAAGGUCCCAAAGUCAUGGUUAAGUGGGAAACGAUGUGGGAAGGCCCAGACAGCCAGGAUGUUGGCUUAGAAGCAGCCAUCAUUUAA
rnacentral:rRNA from 1 species